rnacentral:sRNA from 1 species
GCCGCCACCUCCCCGGGCUUGGCGCUCGGUGCUCUUCUGGUGCUGUCCCCUCAGGUGCUGCUGAGGAAACGGAGCCGGAGCCCGAGCUGGCGGCUCCGGGAGAAGAUGCGGAGCCGCAGGCGGGGCCGUCCGCGCGCGGCUCUCCGAGCCCUGCCGCCCCCGGGCCCCCGGCCGGCCCGCUGCCCCGCAUGGACCUGCCACCGGCGGGGCAGCCCCUGCGCCAUCCGACCCGGGCCCGGCCGCGGCCGCGCCGCCAGCACCACCACCGCCCGCCGCCGGGGGGCCCCCAGGUACCCCCGGCCUUGCCGCAGGAAGGGAAUGGGCUCAGUGCCCGCGUGGACGAGGGCGUGGAGGAAUUCUUCUCCAAAAGGCUGAUCCAGCAGGAUCGCCUCUGGGCCCCCGAGGAGGACCCGGCCACUGAGGGGGGCGCCACUCCUGUCCCCCGUACACUCCGAAAGAAGCUGGGCACCCUCUUUGCCUUCAAGAAGCCUCGUUCAACGCGGGGUCCACGGCCUGAUCUA